CGGCGAGCGAACCGGGAAG
rnacentral:snRNA from 1 species